UACAGAGGGGGCAAGCGUUAUUCGGAAUUAUUGGGCGUAAAGGGCGCGUAGGCGGUCUGACAAGUGGAAGGUGAAAUCCCCGCGCUUAACGUGGGAACUGCCUUCCAAACUGUUUGGCUUGAGACCGGGAGAGGUGAGUGGAAUUCCCAGUGUAGCGGUGAAAUGCGUAGAUAGUUGGGAGGAACACCAGUGGCGAAGGCGGCUCACUGGACCGGUACUGACGCUGAGGCGCGAAAGCGUGGGGAGCAAACGGG
rnacentral:rRNA from 1 species